AACGCACGAGACCUGCGGACCUGCGGAGGGAUCAUUACCGAGUACGCUUGUUUUGCAAGCAACUCCCACCCAUUGUCAACAUCUCUGUUGCUUCGGCGAGCCGACAGUUUUCGAAUUGCCGUCGGAUUCAUCGGGCGAGAGCUCGCCGAAGUUUUUUUAACGCAUCAUUGGAGUCUGAUUUUUUCUCAAUAGAAAAAACUUUUAACAAUGGAUCUCU
rnacentral:misc_RNA from 1 species